rnacentral:misc_RNA from 1 species
GGGAAGCAGCAAAGGGGGGAACGCAAAUGGCACGAGCGGGUAGGCCGGAAAGGAGGCCUGGGGGAGGGGCAGUUAAAUAAAAAUCGGUGUUGUUGCGGCCUUUCGUGGUGACGCGUCGGAAUUGGGUCGUCUUACCUUCGGUUAAGUGACUUAAAAUUUUUGCAUGAUUUUCGAACGUAUUUAAAUCGCUUACGUACGUUUGAGAUAUCGAAUGCUUAUUAGGUUCGGUCAUCCCCAUGAUUCGCGCCUAUAAUUUUUCAUUAAAUGACCUCAAAUCAGGUAAGAAUACCCGCUGAACUUA